UGGCGAACGGGUGAGUAACGCGUGAAGAACCUGCCUCAAAGAGGGGGACAACAGUUGGAAACGACUGCUAAUACCGCAUAAGCCCACGGGUCGGCAUCGACCAGAGGGAAAAGGAGCAAUCCGCUUUGAGAUGGCCUCGCGUCCGAUUAGCUAGUUGGUGAGGUAAUGGCCCACCAAGGCGACGAUCGGUAGCCGGACUGAGAGGUUGAACGGCCACAUUGGAACUGAGACACGGUCCAAACUCCUACGGGAGGCAGCAUG
rnacentral:rRNA from 1 species